rnacentral:rRNA from 1 species
CCUUUGUACACACCGCCCGUCGCUACUACCGAUUGAAUGGCUCAGUGAGGCUUUCGGACCGGCCCAGAGUAGUGGGCAACUACCGCUCAGGGCUGGAAAGUUAUCCAAACUCGGUCAUUUAGAGG